AUUUGUUUUUGUUUUAGAUGAUGCCAAAUAUCCCUCAGAUGCCACAGAUUCCAAACCUGUUCCAAUAUGAAUACCAACCACAAACUGUGCCACAGCAAAGACCCAAUAUCCCAUUCCCACCAUACAACUCUCAACUUCCUCAUUCCCAGGAUCCUUUGCAGCCAACUGAGCAGGAGCAGCCAAUGCAGACCGGCCAGGUACCUCAUGUGCAACCAUAGAAUGGAAACUGAAUUUACCAGCUUGAAGGAAGUACAAAGUCUGCCGACCCAGAGAAGACCAGAUGAUUUGCUGCUUCAAUAUGGCCUUUUGAUAUUAAUUGGGGUAUUUACAGUAGUAUGGUUAUGAGUAUCAAUGUAGAGUGCACAGUUAAUCUACUGUCCCUUUAGAGUUUAUCCCCUUGAUGUUUCUAGUGAAAGUUAUUGUAAUGAGUAUUAUAAGCAUGCAUCAUUGAUAUUACAGUAGGCAAUAGAGAGUAUGGGUGGACAUUAUCUGACUUACAAUCUUUUCUUUGCUACAUUUAAUUUAAGACGUGUAUUUUAGUAAAGGCAAUUAAAGUAUGUUUACAAGCAA